AAAAAAAAAGGUUUUAUUUUUGGCCUUUAGGGGAGAAGAGAAACCGGGAACCCGUAGCUUUCACUUGCAGGCAUGGAUGUGAUUCCCCAAUGGUGUAUUUGCCUGGAUUUUAAUCACAUCAUUGACGUUCCUUUUUAACUAAAAAGCCCAACUCUUCUCCAAAAUUUCCACCCAAAUACACCACACAUUCUGCAAAACGACACCAUUUUUUCCAUUUUUCCUCUCUGCAUUCUGUAGCACAAGCUUUUAUUUAUUUAUCGGAGAAAGUGUAGCACAAGCUCUCUGGAAAAAGAAAAACAAGUGAAUUGGGUGCAAGGAAAAUGAAUGGGAAAACUAUACAACAGAGUCUGGCUGCUUUGAUAGAGAAUAAUAAAGCCGGGAAAACAAAAAGAGACCCAAACAGAAAAAAGAAAAAGGAGAAAGCAAGAGAAGAAAGCGAAAUUUGAGAGUGAAAGAAGGAGAAAGAAGAAAGUGAAAGAGAGAAAAAUAAAAAUAAAAACAAAUUAAAAAUCCAAACCUUUGCUGUGUCUGUCUAUCUUCUUUCACCACCUCCCUCUAGUGAUGGCGUGGUUUGCUUUUACUUUUUUCUUUCGACAGGAAUCUUUGAAAAUCCAAAGCAUCCCUCUAAAAAUUUUAAAGAAAAAGAAGAAAAUUUACCCAUGAAAUAAAUCAUCGCAAUAAAAAAUAAUAAUGAGAAAGGCAAGGAAAUUGACGCAGCGGCCCACCCC
rnacentral:lncRNA from 1 species